rnacentral:rRNA from 1 species
CGAACGCUGGCGGCGUGCCUAAUACAUGCAAGUGGAACGCAUCUUCUCUCCCGUUCUCGGAAACACCUGAGAAGAUGAGUCGCGAACGGGUGAGUAACGCGUAGGUAACCUGCCUCAUAGCGGGGGAUAACUAUUGGAAACGAUAGCUAAUACCGCAUAACAGCUUUUCUCGCAUGAGAGAAGUUUGAAAGGCGCAAUUGCGUCACUAUGAGAUGGACCUGCGUUGUAUUAGCUAGUUGGUGGGGUAACGGCUCACCAAGGCGACGAUACAUAGCCGGCCUGAGAGGGUGAUCGGCCACACUGGGACUGAGACACGGCCCAGACUCCUACGGGAGGCAGCAGUAGGGAAUCUUCGGCAAUGGGGGCAACCCUGACCGAGCAACGCCGCGUGAGUGAAGAAGGUUUUUCCGGAUCGUAAAGCUCUGUUGUAAGAGAAGAAUGUGUGUGGGAGUGGAAAAUCCAUGCAGUGACGGUAUCUUACCAGAAAGGGACGGCUAACUACGUGCCAGCAGCUGC